UCUCAAAUGGAAACUAAAUCCUCCACAAACUUACUAGAUCAAUUAGUGUAUCCGGGAGAUGUGGUUCUUGACCUCUCUACCAUGACAAACCAGACCAUUAAGCUUGGAGACGGUUUACGGCAGACGGUUUACGGCAGGACGAUGAUGUGAUUUCUGUAAUGAAGGCUGACAAGCUUAGGUUCUCCAAGCCUAAUAAAUACUGGGUUGAAAGCUCUCAAAAGAGGUAUUGCCUCAUGCAGAGAAUUCGGUUUUUGGAAUAGUUGUUGACUCCAGAUCAGAUAACUUUCUUGUGGAUAUAAAAGGACCUGCGUUACCAUUUCUACCUGUGCUUGCAUUUGAAGGAGGAAUUAGAAGAAAUAUACCUAAGUUUGAGGCAGGCACUUUGCUUUAUGUGUGGGUUGUUAAAGCAAACCCUGGAAUGAAUCCUGAGCUGUCAUGCACUGAUGGCUUCUCAGCUCACCCACAUGUCCAGUACAUGAUACAUUAGGGAAGAAACUGUUUUUCGAGAUAGCAGUCGGCUUAAAUGGACGUGUUUGGGUCCAUGUCUCUUCUCCAUCAACAACUAUCAUCGUAGCUAAUGCUAUUAUGAACUCAGAGACAUUGAGUGGUGUACAACAGAAAAUAAUGGUUGAAAAGCUGUUGUAGAGAGUCCAGUGACCAAGUUAAUCGUAUGUAUAUAAUUGAGUUAUAGUUCCUUGUGAUUUUACAUUACAAUUCUUGUGUUGUAAAUGCCAUUUCCAACUCACGAGGUUCAUAUUUUUUUGUCUUACCAUAA